GACGAACGCUGGCGGCGUGCUUAACACAUGCAAGUCGAACGGUGACGGAGAGCUUGCUCUCCUGAUCAGUGGCGAACAGGUGAGUAACACGUGGGCAACCUGCCCCAGACUUCGGGAUAACGCUUCGAAAGAGGCGCUAAUACCGAAUACGAACGCCGUGGGCAUCCACGGUGUUGGAAAGUUUUUCGGUCUGGGAUGGGCCCGCGGCCUAUCAGCUUGUUGGUGAGGUAAUGGCUCACCAAGGCGACGACGGGUAGCCGGCCUGAGAGGGCGACCGGCCACACUGGGACUGAGACACGGCCCAGACUCCCUACGGGAGGCAGCAGUGGGGAAUAUUGCGCAAUGGGCGAAAGCCUGACGCAGC
rnacentral:rRNA from 1 species